UUCCAUAGAAUUGUGUCAGGAGAUAUCGGUUGAGGUCUAAGGUUGAGAUUUAGAAUCUGGCAGAAGACUUCUCUUGCUGGCAGCUCUAUGGCGGGAACCUUUCUGAAAGGUCCUUGUCUGCAGAAGAACCAGAGGCUGCUAGUGUUGACUGGGGAGGUGGUGUUGAUCACUCUGGCAUGUCAGCUUCAUGUGCAGUUGAUCUGGGAUGGCAAUGGUUUAAGGAUCCCAGAUUGGAUUCUCUAGGUUUCAGGGGGAUCUUCCCAUCAGAUAUAACGUGUGAGUUUUCUAAGCUUUUGCUGCUCUCAAUAUCUGUAUAUAUUUACAGCAUGACAAAGUUUUCAGACGCUUAUGAUUACAUCAUGUAUCAUCUGACAGACCCACUUACUGAUUAACCUGCAUAUCUUUUCCUUUUUAUGCCUGUUGCCGCACCUUGGUUGAGGCUGACUAAGAAACAGAUGAACGGAAUUACCUGCUCUGGAGGUUGCAGAAGGCUCAAUAGAGAUUCCAAAAGGUGAGGCAAAUCCUCUUGAAUACAAUCUUGCGGGUCUGAGUGCAAUAAGCUUUGACAAAGGCUGCCAUCUUGGCCAAGAGCUUGUAGCCCGUACACAUCCCCAGGGUGUCAUCCGCAAGCACUUGCUUCCUUUGAAGUUUCUCAAUGAUAGUGGAGAAGGUAAUCCUCUGCCUUAGGUUUCUUCCCUUCCCUUCCUCGAGUCCUAGUAUAACCCAAAAAUCUCAUGGCAAUUCCUCAUAAGUGGAGCAAAAAGUCGCUCCAGGCUCAGAUGUAUUGACCCAUGCCACCCACAAGAAGGUUGGUACAGUGACAACUACACUUGGGUGUCGUGGGCUGGGUCUUCUGCGGUUGGAUGAAGCCUUCAGAGGACCAGGUAUAUUGAUCAUACAAGGACAGGAGGAUGUGAAGGUCGAGGCCAUUAGACCAGAUUGGUGGCCUGCUGAAUGGUUUCAAGAGCAUCAACAGUAUAGUGGAGUUAGUUAGAGUGCUUGUUCGGCGGAAAAGCAUACCUCUUCUGCACUCGAUCAAUCCUAAGAACCGUCUUGGCGAUUAUACUGGCAGUGAAUGUUCCCUUAACGGCGGAAACUCAGUUCACAAUUUUUUGUUUGUGAGAAAUAGAAUGAGGUCAAUGAAAUUGUUGCAACUAGAGAACUAAUGCCAUGUGGCGUGCGUCAAUAAACCUGGUCAAACAACCACAUACACAAAGAAGCUUGAUGAAUCUCUUUGAAGUUACAUGGCUGGUUGCUGACUUGCUGUUACUAGAGUCUUAUAACGUAAAUUAACGCAUGAAAAAUUUAGCACUUGGCAGCGCUAAAGUGGAUGUUGGCUAGUGAUUGCAAAUGCAUCUCUUGAAUGUAUGAUACUCUAUAUUCAGAAAUGGAAUGAAGAAUCAGUGUGUUUCUGACUGAUCGUCACUAAUAUUGCUUUUCACAAAGCAAGAAAUAUGUUAUUACAAGUAAUCAGAGGACCCAUUUCCAAAAAUAUCCAUCCCUCCCCCCACCAAUUUGCAGAAGACCUCCUCAAAAGGGAAAUUGCAGAUCGAUAUCUUCAACAACAGUUUGCAGACUUGUGAGGCUUUAGCAUUAGAUCAUUAUCAUCAGAAACACUCAAGAAAUAGACACGAAAGUAGUUCUAUCAAGAACUGUGACUAGGAUGGCUUAGGUCCUGAAUUACAGCCUCUAUGUUUGGCCUGUGGUUGGGAAGCUCGUGGGUGCACAUCAGUGCAAUUUCUGCCAGUUUAGCUGCCGCGGAUUCAAUGUAUUUGCCUUUCAGACUUGUGUCAAUGAAAUCUUGAAAUCUACAAGAUUCAGCUGCCAAUUGCAUUGAGUUGGUGAGUUUCCGCUUCCCAGAUAGAACUUGGAGGAUGAUUACUCCAAAUGCAUAUAUGUCACUCUUCUCAGUAAAACGGCCGGUCGUAAUGUACUCAGGAGCCAUAUAUCCCAUGGCAGCACUGAUCUUAAGAGUUGAGAAGACAACAUCAUCAGCGAGAAGUUUAGGAAGACCAGAAUCCGAAAUCAAUGGAUUGAACUGCUGGUCAAUGAGAAUCUUCUCAACCGAAAUGUUUUGGUGAAUUACGACUGACUUGUUUUCACUGUUGCUGUGCAAAUACCCAAUACCUGGUUGGAAAAGCACAAUUAAUAUGGAAAUAAACUAACUUUACACUUUAAGCUUUAGUAAUCCUGUGUAAGAUAUGGUGUUAAAGCAUUUGCGUUGAUAGAAUUCUCCUAAACAACUUA